rnacentral:rRNA from 2 species
UUCAACAUUCGAACGAGUGGCGAACUGGUGAGUAACACGUGGAAAACCUGCCCAGAAGCAGGGGAUAACACUUGGAAACAGGUGCUAAUACCGUAUAACAACAAAAACCGCAUGGUUUUUGUUUGAAAGGUGGCUUCGGCUAUCACUUCUGGAUGGUUCCGCGGCGCAUUAGCUUGUUGGUGGGGUAACGGCUCACCAAGGCGAUGAUGCGUAGCCGACCUGAGAGGGUAAUCGGCCACAUUGGGACUGAGACACGGCCCAGACUCCUACGGGAGGCAGCAGUAGGGAAUCUUCCACAAUGGACGCAAGUCUGAUGGAGCAAUGCCGCGUGAGUGAAGAAGGGUUUCGGCUCGUAAAACUCUGUUGUUGAAGAAGAACGGGUGUCAGAGUAACUGUUGACAUCGUGACGGUAUUCAACCAGAAAGCCACGGCUAACUACGUGCCAGCAGCCGCGGUAAUACGUAGGUGGCAAGCGUUGUCCGGAUUUAUUGGGCGUAAAGCGAGCGCAGGCGGUUUCUUAAGUCUGAUGUGAAAGCCUUCGGCUUAACCGAAGAAGUGCAUCGGAAACUGGGGAACUUGAGUGCAGAAGAGGACAGUGGAACUCCAUGUGUAGCGGUGGAAUGCGUAGAUAUAUGGAAGAACACCAGUGGCGAAGGCGGCUGUCUAGUCUGCAACUGACGCUGAGGCUCGAAAGCAUGGGUAGCGAACAGGAUUAGAUACCCUGGUAGUCCAUGCCGUAAACGAUGAGUGCUAGGUGUUGGAGGGUUUCCGCCCUUCAGUGCCGCAGCUAACGCAUUAAGCACUCCGCCUGGGGAGUACGACCGCAAGGUUGAAACUCAAAGGAAUUGACGGGGGCCCGCACAAGCGGUGGAGCAUGUGGUUUAAUUCGAAGCUACGCGAAGAACCUUACCAGGUCUUGACAUCUUCUGCCAAUCUUAAAGAUAAGACGUUCCCUUCGGGGACAGAAUGACAGGUGGUGCAUGGUUGUCGUCACCUCGUGUCGUGAGAUGUUGGGUUAAGUCCCGCAACGAGCGCAACCCUUAUUAUCAGUUGCCAGCAUUCAGUUGGGCACUCUGGUGAAACUGCCGGUGACAAACCGG